UCGCAUACUUGUUGUUUCACUUUGUAUAAUUUUAUUUAUAUUUAGAUGUGUUAACAACAAAUGUGAGCACAGAAGAUGGAUACUUGACCAUCAAUUGGAUAGUACCAAAGAAACAUCGUCGUUCAUCUACCCCUAUUACAUACAAUAUAAGUCUAUGUUCUGAUGCUCUUGUCUUCGCGUGCAAGUAUACUUUUACGAUGUGUAAAGCAACAUACCACUACAACGACUCUACUUCAAGCGGUAAGCGAAGGGAGUGACGAUUAGUACUUCAUGUACACACGUUAAAACGCGCAAGUUGACAUCAGGACGGUAACAAACUUGCUACAAGUUGUUCCAACAAGACUAAUGCAGACUGAUUGCAACAAGUUGCUACGAACUUGUUGUCAUCAAAUUGUAAACAACUUGUUACGUGCAGACUUAUUGGAACAACUUGUUGCGAGUCGUUGGCCUUAUCAACCUUGUUACAAGAUGAUAACACCUUGUUCCAGACUUGUCAACGACUAGGAACGUACAAGCAGUGGGAACACAUGUUGUUGGCAAGCUGGGAGAGUGUAACUUAACCAAAAAAAGGAUGUGUUCGCUCUGCUUGUUCCCACCAGCCAUAUAAAAAGCACUCCCAAGUGACCAAAUAACAAUUUAUAGAUGCUUAAAACAUUCUAAGUCAAUUUUUAUUUGAAAUCGCUAUCAAAGUAUAAUUUAGGGAUCCAGGGGUAUUUUAGGUUUUGGGACUUGGGUGGACAGGGUUUUUUUAUUUGGGGGGGGGUACCCCCCCCCCCCCCUAUAUGAUCACAAACCCACACAUCAUUUCUUACGCUCACCUAUUUCCUAGUGAGGGGAUAGAAAUGAUGUCUCGGUCAACUGCACCUCCAAGUGAUUACCCAUAUUAUACUCAAGGUCAUAUGCCUUAUGACGUGCCAGUUUAAUAUUAAUAAUGAUAUUCAUAUUCCAUUUUGGGGGGAAAUGCCCCCCCCCCGAAUUUAGCUAUUUUCAGAUUUGGGGGGAAUUCGGGAUUUUGGGGGAAAUUCCUCCUAAUCUAGGGAUGAGCCGAUAAGGAAAAUUGCCGAUUACUGAUGCCGAUUAUUUGUAAGCAGAUUAUCGUAACUAAUCGGCCGAUUAAUCGGUACCUGCCGAUUAUUUUAAAAAGCAAGCGAAAAAUCACAAGAUGACCAACAAUGACGUUGUAAAUGCGGUUUUAUUGCAGCAAUACACUAUGUACAAUUAAAAACAGCUUCAAUCUUGCAUGUCAAUAAUCAAAGUUCAGUGGAAAUGUUCCCAGCUUCACUUCGCUUGAGACAAAAGACACAUAUUUUGCAACAAAAUGUGAAAAUCUGUUCGCUUGUAUUCAGUAUUUUAGCAUGUGCUUGGCAGCUGCAGAAAAAGUCUUAUGGCCGAUUAUCAGGCAAUAAUCGGCCGAUUACCGAUUAUUUAAAAAACGGCCGAUUAAUCGGCUUUGCCGAUUAUUUACCGNNNNNNNNNNNNNNNNNNNNCCCCCCACCCCCCCCCCCCCCCCCGCAAAAUACCCCUGGGUUUCAUAAUGAGCAUUGCACAUCUGAGUGAGAUAUUUACGUCAUCCUGCUAACUGACGUCAGCAGUAAUCCAAGAAGGCGGACACGCCAUAACAUUCGAAGAAGAUAUACCCCUUAAUUUUAAAAGUUUUGUCAAAUUUGAAAGUAAAGUUUCAUUCAUAUAUCAAAUGCAUCUGUUACCGAAAACUGUGCUUUUUUAUCCUUUUUCAAUAGGUCAGGUUCAUUUGUAUGAAGAAAACUGGCGAAAAUUUGUUAAUAAUAAAACACUAAUUCAGCAGCCACCUCUUUUGAAAAGUUGGAAGAGCCGCGACUAUCAUUUUUCGUGCAGCAUCUAUUUGGGCGUUUGUAUAAACCAUUUAUAUUUUCAACAAACAUUGCAGUACAAAGUUGACUAUGGCAAUGGUACUUCUGGAGUUCAGUUUGAUAAAGUACAUUUUCAAAAAGGUGCGUAAGGCAAAAAAAAAUAUGUGGGUUUCCGGUUUCUUCUUAUAAAAACUUAGGUAGGGUAGGUCGGUUUUAACUUUUUUUUUUAAACUUUUUUUUUAAUUUUCCGAAUAAGCGGACGCCAUUUUGUUUAGUCAGUGCUUCCACAUCCAAAGAUAAAUUUCCCGAAUAUUGCCUCAAAUUUCAAUUUUCCGCAAACUUUUUCCUCUAAGUGGAAACACUUACAAGCAUGAUCCAAUAAAAAAGUUUAGGGUUGGGAUUUCGACGUCCAAAAGCAAGGUAGGGUCGGGAAACCGGAAACCCACAUAUUUUUUCUUUUGCCUAAACUAUUCACCACCACCAGUUCUGUUAAAGUAUACCAAAUAUUGAAUAUUUGUUUAGAGCCGCCCCCGAUCGCAAGACCUUUAUUUUCAAGAUGCCCCCACCUUCAUUUAGAAAAUUAAGGAUCGACUCCCUCCCCCUUUCAACACCCUUACCAGACUGACAGAUAUGUGACAGAUAUAUGUCACAGUUCUGUAAAAUAUCUGCAAAAUAUAUGUACGAAAGUAUCUGUCACAUAUCU
rnacentral:lncRNA from 1 species